GUGCCAGCAGCCGCGGUAACACGUAGGAGCCAAGCGUUAUCCGAAUUCACUGGGCGUAAAGCGCGUGCAGGCGGCUCUGUAAGUUGGAUGUGAAAUCUCCUGGCUCAACUGGGAGAGGACGUUCAAUACUGCAGGGCUAGAGGGCAGCAGAGGGAGGUGGAAUUCCCGGUGUAGUGGUGAAAUGCGUAGAUAUCGGGAGGAACACCAGUGGCGAAAGCGGCCUCCUGGGCUGCACCUGACGCUCAGACGCGAAAGCUAGGGGAGCGAACGGGAUUAGAAACCCGUGUAGUCC
rnacentral:rRNA from 1 species